rnacentral:rRNA from 1 species
GACGUAGGGGGCGAGCGUUGUCCGGAUUUAUUGGGCGUAAAGAGCGCGUAGGCGGCCCCGGAAAGUCGGAUGUGAAAACCCGGGGCUCAACCCCGGGCCGGCACCCGAUACUUUCGGGCUAGAGGCAGGUAGGGGAGAGUGGAAUUCCCGGUGUAGCGGUGAAAUGCGCAGAUAUCGGGAGGAACACCGGUGGCGAAGGCGGCUCUCUGGGCCUGCACUGACGCUCAUGCACGAAAGCGUGGGGAGCAAACAGG